UUCGAAUCCUUCCGUCCCA
rnacentral:tRNA from 1 species